rnacentral:rRNA from 1 species
CCCUAAGGCGAGGCCGAAAGGCGUAGUCGAUGGGAAACGGGUUAAUAUUCCCGUACUUGGUGUUACUGCGAAGGGGGGACGGAGAAGGCUAUGUUGGCCGGGCGACGGUUGUCCCGGUUUAAGCGUGCAGGUGUGUGUUCCAGGUAAAUCCGGUUCACUUUAACACUGAGGCGUGAUGACGAGGCACUACGGUGCUGAAGCAACAAAUGCCCUGCUUCCAGGAAAAGCCUCUAAGCAUCAGGUAACAUCAAAUCGUACCCCAAACCGACACAGGUGGUCAGGUAGAGAAUACCAAGGCGCUUGAGAGAACUCGGGUGAAGGAACUAGGCAAAAUGGUGCCGUAACUUCGGGAGAAGGCACGCUGACACGUAGGUGAAGUGAUUUACUCAUGGAGCUGAAGUCAGUCGAAGAUACCAGCUGGCUGCAACUGUUUAUUAAAAACACAGCACUGUGCAAACACGAAAGUGGACGUAUACGGUGUGACGCCUGCCCGGUGCCGGAAGGUUAAUUGAUGGGGUCAGCGCAAGCGAAGCUCCUGAUCGAAGCCCCGGUAAACGGCGGCCGUAACUAUAACGGUCCUAAGGUAGCGAAAUUCCUUGUCGGGUAAGUUCCGACCUGCACGAAUGGCGUAAUGAUGGCCAGGCUGUCUCCACCCGAGACUCAGUGAAAUUGAACUCGCUGUGAAGAUGCAGUGUACCCGCGGCAAGACGGAAAGACCCCGUGAACCUUUACUAUAGCUUGACACUGAACAUUGAGCCUUGAUGUGUAGGAUAGGUGGGAGGCUUUGAAGUGUGGACGCCAGUCUGCAUGGAGCCGACCUUGAAAUACCACCCUUUAAUGUUUGAUGUUCUAACGUGGACCCGUGAUCCGGGUUGCGGACAGUGUCUGGUGGGUAGUUUGACUGGGGCGGUCUCCUCCUAAAGAGUAACGGAGGAGCACGAAGGUUGGCUAAUCCUGGUCGGACAUCAGGAGGUUAGUGCAAUGGCAUAAGCCAGCUUGACUGCGAGCGUGACGGCGCGAGCAGGUGCGAAAGCAGGUCAUAGUGAUCCGGUGGUUCUGAAUGGAAGGGCCAUCGCUCAACGGAUAAAAGGUACUCCGGGGAUAACAGGCUGAUACCGCCCAAGAGUUCAUAUCGACGGCGGUGUUUGGCACCUCGAUGUCGGCUCAUCACAUCCUGGGGCUGAAGUAGGUCCCAAGGGUAUGGCUGUUCGCCAUUUAAAGUGGUACGCGAGCUGGGUUUAGAACGUCGUGAGACAGUUCGGUCCCUAUCUGCCGUGGGCGCUGGAGAACUGAGGGGGGCUGCUCCUAGUACGAGAGGACCGGAGUGGACGCAUCACUGGUGUUCGGGUUGUCAUGCCAAUGGCACUGCCCGGUAGCUAAAUGCGGAAGAGAUAAGUGCUGAAAGCAUCUAAGCACGAAACUUGCCCCGA